rnacentral:lncRNA from 1 species
UGUUGCCGCAAGGAGGGGGCAUAUACCCAGAACAGUGAGCACCUGGCCUUUCUUCCAUUUCUACAGUGAAAGAUGGCUCUGCCUCCCACCCAAACUCAGACAGCAGGGAAUUUCCCAAACAUUGGAAAACCUUCAGAUGCAGAAUGCCCUCCCACUAAAAACAUUCCCAUCACUGUCCACUUGUACCAUUUAGUUCUAGUAUUUUAAAGAAAGUUCGCUUUAGGAAUUGAUUUUGAAUCUUCAUAAGUGAUUUUCCUUCUCCUCUUGAGAUAAUCAUAUGGUUUCUCUUAUUUGACCCAUUGGUAUGUUCUAUAAACAGAUUUACUAAUAUUAAAACAGCUUUGCAUUCUUCGGUAAACCCUAUUUGGCUAUGGUAAAUUAUUCUUUUAAUAUACUGUUGAAUUCAAUUUCCUGGCAUUUUGUCUAGAAUUUGCACAUUUAUAUUUAUGAGUGAGGUUGGUCUAGUUUUAUUUCACACUGUCUCUUUGCCAGCCUCAGUGACAUUCCGGGCUCUUCCUCCCAGGGAUUUUGUGCCCCCCUGGUUGGGAUUUGAGCCCUGAACUAUUUUUCAUAAACCAUAGGCUUUACAACAGUCCACGUGGCUCAUUGAGUGUGAGGAAAUUAUAGGAAUGGACACAGAUAUGGUGAGAAAUUCUAGACGCCCAAGGCAUCACUUAAAUCACUCUGGACAUUUAAUAGGGCCUACCAUGUGCCAGCUGCUGAAAUAUUCAACCUGAAGCUUAAAUAAGCUUCUCUGUGGGUAGAAUUUAGAUGAACCAUGAGAGUCAUUUGAAAAUAGAGACUGUGAGAGGAGACAGGAAAGGCCAUCUCAUCUACCUGUAUCUUAAGGUCGGGGGCGGGUGUGGGGGCGGGAACCUGAAGUCCAGAGAAGGGAAGAGACCUGCACCCAGAAUAUGAUCCAGGUGUCCCUGACUCUGUCCCUUGCUCUUUCAUACACAGGACAGCCAAAAACAAACAAACAAACAAACAAACAGAAAAGGUCCAGACUCUGGUGAAAAACAUGUUUCAGGCCCCUCAGCAAGAGUGGACAAGACAAACAUCUUUACAAGCCCCUCCCUAAAAGGUGCCCUGAACUGUCCAGAAGAGACAAACCGAAGCCCGGCACUGGAAGGGAGGAAAAGAGAGAUGACCCUCUCCCCGCAACAAGGUCAUCAGAGAGCUGGAAGCCAAGUGCCCUCCUCCACGUUCUCUCUACUGUGCCAUGUGGCUUGUGUUGAUACAGACCCUUGGGCUGGACCAAUCCUGGAAGAUCAAGAGCUGACUGGUGAGCCCAGGGCGAAAGUGGUGGGGAUAGGGUGAGAGGCGCAAUGCUCUGGGAUUUGUAGAAAAGUCAGGGUGGAGCCAGCACCCCUUUCUGUACCCUCCACUCACAUAGCACUAUGAUCCUAUAGGAGGCCCGGGGGAAGAAAGGGCUGCACAGAGUCAGCACAGAGAGGAGCAUUCUUGAGAAACAAGGACACGGAUGUUUAUUUGGGAGGUGAUCCCCUGAAGCACAGUGAUGAAGUAAGCAAGGUUAGACAUAGAAGACAAAGAAACAAUAAAGUGAAUGCUCUGAUGAAUGGGUUACUGUCAUGGGCAACUACGGUUGAUCCUUGGCAGCUUUCUGAAAACCAUGUGGCCCUUGCCUCAAAAUCAUGC